rnacentral:rRNA from 1 species
AUGCGGUACGCCGUCCGGAUACGUGUGCACACGAGUGUCACGCAUGUGGAAUACCGAAGGUUCCCGGCUUCUCCAAGCUGGGCCAUCGAGAUCGAGGCAUCGAUGGUCGACCGCGGGAUUGCAUGCCAGUCAAACUCAAGAAGGAUUCGACACAGCUCGCUCGACCACAUGGCCAACUUCACCGCCCAGCUCAAGGAGAGGUUCCUCGCCCUCGUCGACCGCGUCACCGGCUGCGGCCGCGGUUCCGCGGCCAAGGAGAAGGAGGAGGCCACCAAGCCGGCCAUGAAGGAGCACGUCGAGAUUCGAUCGAGAGCUCCCAACGUGUCAGGAGGAUCAGGGGCGGGAAUUCGUGCGCCUGUUUCUUUCAGUGCACGCCAUCUGUAUGGACACGUAAUGCGGUGCAUCAAAGCGGCGAACACCUGUUCUUGCCUUCCGUCAGGGGGCAGCCACCAAGAGCAUGGACUUCAACCACGCAGCAGCAGCAGCAGCGACUACAGGCAGAAGCUUUGCCAUGAGAGGCAACCUGUCUCCGCGGAUGACAACAAUAAGACCAUCGAAGUUCAUAAUCUUGAUGCCCGCGGCGGAUGGAAAGCCGAAAGAAAUCAAAGAAGCACGAGGAAGAGCGGACCGGCGGCGGCAUCGUGGAUAGUCAGAUCGGAAAGGACGACGUCCUGGGGGGGCCCUCGGCCUCGGGGGCCCGGGGCGGCCGCCCCCCCUGCCCCCCCUCAGGGCCGGGCCUGUAUACGAUUCAACUACUUUGAUCAUUGUUUUCCACCCCCACCUGCACUAGAAGGUGACGCGCACCUUCGUCAUGCGGUUAUUUAUUGGAGUUUUUCUCGUGAAAAUGCGUUGUUGUACGCGCACGAGUUUUUCUCUCUUCAUCUCAUCGCCUCCUCUCAAUCCCUAAUUCCCCAAUCCCCUUCCGAUGUGAAAAUUUCUUGCAGGUGCCGCCUGGUAGAAUCACAGCCGACGAAUCAGAGGGAUUUUGAUCUAAUCAGUGGACGACAUUCAACACAAUUGAUUUAUCUUGGCCAUGAACUUUGGAUUUACAUUGACAAUGUUCGAGCGGACCAAAGAUUUGCCAAUUUGGAUGGCAUUGAUGAUCUUGCUAAAGUGUUGGUGGGCACUAGGAAAGCAUCUUGUUUUUCCUUUGGUGUAUCAACUUCUAAAGUUGAUGCAAAUUUUGAUGGUUGCCACAGUGGAGAGAUACUUUUCAGCAAUGAAUAUUGUCAAGAGUGUUUUGCGAAACAAAAUGGAUGA